GUGGGGAAUAUUGGGCAAUGGGGGAAACCCUGACCCAGCAACGCCGCGUGAAGGAAGAAGGUCUUCGGAUCGUGAACUUCUAUCCUUGGUGAAGAUAAUGACGGAAGCCGAGAAGGAAGCCCCGGCUAACUACGUGCCAGCAGCCGCGGUAAUACGUAGGGGGCAAGCGUUGUCCGGAAUGAUUGGGCGUAAAGGGCGCGUAGGCGGCCUGGUAAGUCUUGAGUGAAAGUCCUGCUUUUAAGGUAGGAAUUGCUUUGGAUACUGUCGGGCUUGAGUGCAGGAGAGGUAAGUGGAAUUCCCGGUGUAGCGGUGAAAUGCGUAGAGAUCGGGAGGAACACCAGUGGCGAAGGCGACUUACUGGACUGUAACUGACGCUGAGGCGCGAAAGUGUGGGGAGCAAACAGGAUUAGAAACCCGGGUAGUCC
rnacentral:rRNA from 1 species